rnacentral:rRNA from 1 species
UACGUAGGGUGCAAGCGUUGUCCGGAAUUAUUGGGCGUAAAGAGCUCGUAGGCGGUCUGUCGCGUCUGCUGUGAAAACUCAGGGCUUAACCCUGAGCUUGCAGUGGGUACGGGCAGACUAGAGUGCGGUAGGGGAGACUGGAAUUCCUGGUGUAGCGGUGAAAUGCGCAGAUAUCGGGAAGAACACCCGUGGCGAAGGCGGCUCUCUGGAACGCAACUGACGCUGAGACGCGAAAAGCGUGGGGAGCAAACAGG